GGCGAGGCUUAGAGUCUUGUGCUGGUGUGCACCGUCGCCAGCACAUGCUAUUGCGCUCGCAGAUUAACCCGGCUUGCCUUAUUCACUGGGCCGCUCUCACGUGAUCGGCCCGGUCACCUGGCUUGCUACAUGC